AUUCUCUUAGUUCAAUUGGUUAGAACUGCAUUCUUCUAAAGUGUUAAUUUUGGUUCGAGUCCAAAAGAGAAUA
rnacentral:tRNA from 2 species